rnacentral:rRNA from 1 species
GAUGAACGCUGGCGGCGUGCCUAAUACAUGCAAGUCGAGCGAACAGACGAGGAGCUUGCUCCUUUGACGUUAGCGGCGGACGGGUGAGUAACACGUAGGUAACCUACCUAUAAGACUGGGAUAACUUCGGGAAACCGGAGCUAAUACCGGAUAAUAUUUCGAACCGCAUGGUUCGAUAGUGAAAGAUGGCUUUGCUAUCACUUAUAGAUGGACCUGCGCCGUAUUAGCUUGUUGGUAAGGUAACGGCUUACCAAGGCAACGAUACGUAGCCGACCUGAGAGGGUGAUCGGCCACACUGGAACUGAGACACGGUCCAGACUCCUACGGGAGGCAGCAGUAGGGAAUCUUCCGCAAUGGGCGAAAGCCUGACGGAGCAACGCCGCGUGAGUGAUGAAGGUCUUCGGAUCGUAAAACUCUGUUAUUAGGGAAGAACAAACGUGUAAGUAACUGUGCACGUCUUGACGGUACCUAAUCAGAAAGCCACGGCUAACUACGUG